rnacentral:rRNA from 1 species
GAUGAACGCUGGCGGCGUGCCUAAUACAUGCAAGUCGAGCGAACGGACGAGAAGCUUGCUUCUCUGAUGUUAGCGGCGGACGGGUGAGUAACACGUGGAUAACCUACCUAUAAGACUGGGAUAACUGCGGGAAACCGUAUCUAAUACGGGAUAAUAUUUUUAACCGCAUGGUUCAAAAGUGAAAGACGGUCUUGCUGUCACUUAUAGAUGGAUCCGCGCUGCAUUAGCUAGUUGGUAAUGUAACGGCUUACCCAGGCAACGAUGGAUAGACGACGUGAGGGGGUGAUAGGCGACCCUGGAACUGAAACACGGUCAUGGCUCCUGCGGGAGGCAGCAGUAGGGAAUCUUCCGCAAUGGGCGAAAACCUGACGGAGCAACGCCGAGUGAGUGAUGGAGGUCUUCGGAUCGUAAUACUCUGUUAUGAGGGAAGAACAUAUGUGUACGUAACUGUGCACAUCUUGACGGUACCUAAUCAGAAAGCCACGGCUAACUACGUG